AACUCCUCCGGGGGGCCGCAGUGGGGGAUAUUGGACAAUGGGGGAAACCCUGAUCCCGCGACGCCGCGUGAGUGAAGAAGUAUUUCGGUAUGUAAAGCUCUGUCAGCAGGGAAGAAAGAAAUGACGGUACCUGACCAAGAAGCCCCGGCUAACUACGUGCCAGCAGCCGCGGUAAUACGUAGGGGGCAAGCGUUAUCCGGAAUUACUGGGUGUAAAGGGAGCGUAGACGGUGAUGCAAGUCUGGAGUGAAAGGCGGGGGCCCAACCCCCGGACUGCUCUGGAAACUGGGGAACUUGAGUGCAGGG
rnacentral:rRNA from 1 species